AGAGUUUGAUCCUGGCUCAGGAUGAACGCUAGCUACAGGCUUAACACAUGCAAGUCGAGGGGCAGCGGGAUUGAAGCUUGCUUCAAUUGCCGGCGACCGGCGCACGGGUGAGUAACGCGUAUCCAACCUUCCGUACACUCAGGGAUAGCCUUUCGAAAGAAAGAUUAAUACCUGAUGGUAUGAUGAGAUCGCAUGAUAGCAUCAUUAAAGAUUUAUCGGUGUACGAUGGGGAUGCGUUCCAUUAGGUAGUAGGCGGGGUAACGGCCCACCUAGCCAACGAUGGAUAGGGGUUCUGAGAGGAAGGUCCCCCACAUUGGAACUGAGACACGGUCCAAACUCCUACGGGAGGCAGCAGUGAGGAAUAUUGGUCAAUGGACGAGAGUCUGAACCAGCCAAGUAGCGUGAAGGAUGAAGGUCCUACGGAUUGUAAACUUCUUUUAUAAGGGAAUAAACCCUCCCACGUGUGGGAGCUUGUAUGUACCUUAUGAAUAAGCAUCGGCUAACUCCGUGCCAGCAGCCGCGGUAAUACGGAGGAUGCGAGCGUUAUCCGGAUUUAUUGGGUUUAAAGGGAGCGCAGACGGGUCGUUAAGUCAGCUGUGAAAGUUUGGGGCUCAACCUUAAAAUUGCAGUUGAUACUGGCGUCCUUGAGUGCGGUUGAGGUGUGCGGAAUUCGUGGUGUAGCGGUGAAAUGCUUAGAUAUCACGAAGAACUCCGAUUGCGAAGGCAGCACACUAAUCCGUAACUGACGUUCAUGCUCGAAAGUGUGGGUAUCAAACAGGAUUAGAUACCCUGGUAGUCCACACGGUAAACGAUGGAUACUCGCUGUUGGCGAUAUACUGUCAGCGGCUUAGCGAAAGCGUUAAGUAUCCCACCUGGGGAGUACGCCGGCAACGGUGAAACUCAAAGGAAUUGACGG
rnacentral:rRNA from 1 species